UCUGGCAAUUGGAAUGAGAACAAUUUAAACCCCUUAUCGAGUAUCAAUUGGAGGGCAACUCUGGUGCCAGCAGCCGCGGUAAUUCCAGCUCCAAUAGCGUAUAUUAAACUUGUUGCAGUUAAAAAGCUCGUAGUUGGAUUUGUGGCAGUCGCAUGCGGCCCGGCAUUCGUGUCGGUGUUUGGUCGCGUUGCCAUCCUUGGGUGGAACUGAUGUGGCAUUAGGUUGUCGUGCAGGGGAUGCCCAUCAAUUACUGUGAAAAAAUUAGAGCGUUCAAAGCAGGCUUAUGCCGUUGAAUAUAUUAGCAUGGAAUAAUAAGAUAGGACUUUGGUACUAUUUUGUUGGUUUGCGCACCAAGGUAAUGAUUAAUAGGGACAGUUGGUGGUAU
rnacentral:rRNA from 1 species